GACGAACGCUGGCGGCGUGCUUAACACAUGCAAGUCGAACGGAAAGGCCCUGCUUUUGUGGGGUGCUCGAGUGGCGAACGGGUGAGUAACACGUGAGUAACCUGCCCUUGACUUUGGGAUAACUUCAGGAAACUGGGGCUAAUACCGGAUAGGAGCUCCUGCUGCAUGGAGGGGGUUGGAAAGUUUCGGCGGUUGGGGAUGGACUCGCGGCUUAUCAGCUUGUUGGUGGGGUAGUGGCUUACCAAGGCUUUGACGGGUAGCCGGCCUGAGAGGGUGACCGGCCACAUUGGGACUGAGAUACGGCCCAGACUCCUACGGGAGGCAGCAGUGGGGAAUAUUGCACAAUGGGCGGAAGCCUGAUGCAGCAACGCCGCGUGCGGGAUGACGGCCUUCGGUUUGUAAACCGCUUUCGCCUGUGACGAAGCGUGAGUGACGGUAAUGGGUAAAGAAGCACCGGCUAACUACGUG
rnacentral:rRNA from 1 species